AUUGGACCCUUUAAGCCAAUUUGGUUUGUGUACGUGAGUGAAGCCAACAAUUAAUUUUAGGGUUCGUCGUCUCAAUGGACGGAUCAGGUCUAACAUCAAUCGUGGCUCUGCAACUCUCGUAGAUUCGCGUCGGUGUGUAUAUGUCGAUUCGAGUUAUUUUGAUCUUGAUUAAUCUCCUCUCAGGCGUUACAAGCUGCAUUCAUUCGUUGUCAUCAAUGAAAUAUUUUUACACACAAACCAAAAUUAUGAAUUCAAUUGUUCUUAUCUCUCUUCCAAGCGGUGGAUCUACAUCUAUAAAAAAAGGCUGGUGGCAAGUUGUUGGGUGUGGACAUACUCUUCCUCGACUCUCAGCCACCGCGAAAGCAAUGAAUCACUCACUCGCUCACCAACUAACAACACAAACACAAAAGCGGUAACAUGAUUCAUCUGGCCUUGCAACGAUACCGUACCAGUUUAUAAGAUUACAUUCUAAGAUAUAUUUGAAAACUGAGGGAUGGUCGUGUCUGUAGUUUCCUUGAGUGACUACAACCAUGGUACCCGUGGAUUUUUGAUUCUAAUUCCAGCUCAUGUGAACUUAGCGGAGGAGAAGCUGAUGCUCUGCGACAGUGACACAUGGCAGGAGAGUUAAGGAGGGGUUUGUUCAACUUUCUCCUUUGAGUUGGAUCGGUGAUCGAGGCAGUCGUACCAAAGACAUUUGAGGUUAUGUCUGUCAUCCACAUCCUCUUCCCAACUCAUAUCUUAAAUCCAUAACCGCUCUUUGACAUGGAACACUGUUGCUCAAUGGCCACAAAGUGAGCAUAUAUAUUAUACACUCAUACGUAUGGGUGUUAUCUAUAGUUUUUCAUACAUAAAUUAUUUGAUCACACUUUUUUGUGUACGCCAAAGCACUGGCAAGAGGAAUAAUCCUCAUUACAAACAAAGGUCAAUUGUAUUUUCCCUUUUUUCAUACAUGUUCAAACAUUCUCUUUACACAUACAACUCUAUGUCUAAAUGUAGAAGAUUCCGAGAGAGCAGAGGAACAUGGGAUCUGAGGGGUCAAGAGCUGCAGAUAUGCCAGCGAUAGCCACAGAGUACAGCCGUGUGAUGAAAUGGCCAAGCUACAGGGCGUCUGCAGAUUUAUUUGAAGAAAAAGAGUAAGAGACGGAUGAGAAGAGUAGACAGCAGAAGUGUCUGAGACUCUUACGAUCCCAUUAACACACUCAAAAACUAAAUGCAUAUAAAUAUUGCUGGACUGUUGGAAACACUCAGUGAGCAAGACAGCAAUAAUAUAGUCAUCAGCAGUUCAAUUUUAUGUUUGUUACUUUGAUUUACUUUCCAUUCAAUGAUCCUGUAAACUUAGGUUUUUAGCUAAGGUCUUAUUUUCCUUACCUGACUUAUAAUGUAUUAUAUAAAC